rnacentral:lncRNA from 1 species
CUAGCCCGCGAACGGGCUAGCCACAAAAACGUGUGCGGAAAAUUUUUCUUCUUUUAUAGUGGUUUUUCUGAUAUUCACUGAUUUCUGGAUUUGUCACUGAUAAUUCACGAAGUUGUCAAAGAAAACGACAUAUCAGAAAAACUAUUGAAGAAGAGAAAUUUUCCGCACACGUAUUUUUAACCCUACCUAUGAAGAUUCAAAUCGAGAUAUGUAGACAAACGUUGAGGUAAACUAUAAACAGAUUUUGAUUUUUUAUGGGAUACCUUUAUAUUUCUUUAGUCAGCCAAUACUGGACAGGUUUAACAGAACACUCAUCAAAUGAGGAUUUUCGAAAUCAGCAUUUGCUUGGCUUUCUUCACUAAAAAUUUAGUAAAGUUGCCUAAAAUUCGUUGCGCCUGUUCAAUUGACUAAAACGCACGUUCAUCAUGUGAAGUAAGCUUAAUUAUUAAAGAGUCCGUCUCUGUAAUUUCCGACCACUCGAUACUGGUUCAAAAAUAAACCCAGCCUUAAACUUUGUGUGUGGAUUAAGAAACCCUUGCUUAUCAUCAAUACAAAAGGGGUU